CCGGCCUGCGCCUCUCCCAGCUGCGCCAGAGGGGGCGCGGUCUGGAAUGCUCCGCCAACAUCCCGCGGCCGCCACCCGCUGCCGGGACUUGCUCGAGCUCUCGCGAGAUUAUCUGUAAUCGCGGCUGGGCUUGGGAAGCGGGCCCGGCUGUAACCUUAGGAACCCCGAGAGCCUUCGAAGCUCUGCUUCGCAAUCCCAGCGCGGAUUCUCCUGAAAGGAACACUCAAUGGCCUCUGAGCAGUCUGGAGGGGUCAGUUAGACCAUCUGCUUGCCUGCCUCGGCACCGAGAGCCCCCCUGGAAACCGUGAGGGGCUGAGCUCCCCGUGCUUCCCAGUAGCCAUCAUUCCCUUGUAAUACAUCAUCAGGGAUCUGCCGCUACUGUGGAAAGAAGGAACUAGAGGAAGACCAGCGUACAAGCAGGGGGAACAGUGGGGAAGCUGCUGCAGCGGUCCGGGUGAACAACUGGAGAAGUCCAGAGGUGUGCAGACUGGAAGGAGGAAGCUUGCUCAGGUUAACAUCUUGCCAUGUGUAAGCACAAAUUGUGGGUGGCCCUCUCCAGCUUCCUUGAGGAUGGCUGUGCACGCUCCUGAAGCUUCA